rnacentral:misc_RNA from 1 species
UGAUUAUUUAAAGGGCAAUCUAAUACAUGUCUUUAUAUAUUAAUAUUUUUGCAGUAGCUUUGUGCAUUCCAUCGACAGACAGAAAUAUUACCCUCGUUGUCUGCACCACCAUGACCUCAUUACAUUCCUAAUUGAAGAUUGUACUGUAGAGUAGCAUUUACUUAAUUCUAUUUCAUUAUGUUAAUGAAUUAAUCAGGCACCGCAUUUAGACUAAACAAUGCAUAUACUGGUACAGUGUACACAUUAAAAGUUGUCAUCUCCAUUUAAUAUGCCCGCUCUCGUGUAUACGAGUUGUCAGUAGAAAGUCUUGUAUUUAUAUGAUUAUAAUAUAAUCAUUGCAUAACACUGUAUUUAGGUCUCAACUAUUCAGAUUCCAGAUCUGCAUAUGCGUUUUGGAAAUUAUCUUUAUGAAUGAGACAAAAUGUCCUUUCAAUGUCCAAUGAGGUCUGUGUUUUCUGCGUGAUAUGGAUGAAGUGUGUAGACACCUCAUGUGGAGAUGAUGAAUUGGGAACGAAGAAAUCCAUCGUCCUGUUAUCCAUUUUCCUGUCUCUCGUCACUAUACAGGUUUAUUUAAUUCAAUUAAAGUGAUAUCCUUGUCUCUAGAGUUAGGUCCCUUUACUGUUUUACGAGUUAUUGAUCUGUUGUGGCUGUCUGUCUGUGUACUCAUGCAAGCUUCUAGAUACUCGAGUAUAUUGUCUCAUAUGAAUGCUAUAUAUGUAUAUCGAGCUCAUUUUUCCCUGCAGAGAAACAACAACAUACUAUGCAAACUUUUGUAGCUAGUAGGAAGUACUUAGCACUGGUGUGUAUGUAACACAGGAAACAGGUUAUUCUAUUGUAUGAGGAGCUCACACUAUGUGGUCAUGUUACAGAACACUUGACUCCAUAUUGUUUUGUUAUUGGGUUUUGUAGAGGGACUAUAGACAUACAUGAAUCUUUCACCCAGAUUUUUUGGUUUCUUUGUUCUCAUUUCUUCUGUGAUUAUAUCAAAUAUUUGUUAUGUCAGAUUAAAGCUUGCAUAUGUUUUAUCAUUUUCUGUAUCAUAUAUUUUUUUUCAAUAAAGUCAUGUAUAUUC